AAUAUUUAAAAUUAAAGAUAAACAUCUAGCUUUCCCCAGUUUCUUUAAUCUUUACUUUUAUUUCCUCCUUUACCCUUCCUGGAAAGAAAUGUUUAUAUAUUUUUACAUACAUGUCUGUAUAUUUAUUUUUUACUUUCACAACAUUAAUAGAGUAUGGUGCUUUGUCCAAAUCAAAAUGUGUAGAACUUCCUUCUUCUUUUAAUUAUAUGCAUAGAUUCCAGUGUUUAAAUUUCGUGUAACUACCCUUCCCACGUCCCUUCUUUCUGCCCUCUUGCCAUUAUCAGCUUCUUCAAAUCUAUCAUAUACACAACAGCUGUGAUGAUUAAUACUGAGUGUCAGCUCAAGUGGAUUGAAGGAUGCAAAGUAUUGUUCCUGUGUGUCUGUGAGGGUGUUGCCAAAGAUGUGUCUGUGUGGUGUGUCUGUGAGGGUGUUGCCAAAGGAGAUUAACAUUUGAGUCAGUGGACUGGUAGUGGCAGACCCACCCUCAAUCUGGCUGGACACAAUCUAAUCAGCUGCCAGCGAGGUUAGUAUAAGGCAAAAGAUGGAAGAGGAGACUGUCUGAGUCUUCCGGCUUUCAUCUUUCUCCCAUGCUGGAUGCUUCCUGGCCUUAAGCAUCAAACUUCAAGUUUUUCAGCUUUUGUACUCUUGGACUUACACCAGUGGUUUGCCAGGGGCUUUUGGGCCUUUGGCCACAGACUGAAGGCUGCACUGUCGACUUGCCUGCUUUUGAGGUUUUGGAACUCAAACUGAUUCACCACUGGCUUCCUUGCUCCUCAACUUGCAGAUGGCCUAUCAUGGGAACUUACUUUAUGAUUGCGUGAGUCAAUUCUCCUUAAUAAACUCCCUUUCACAUAUACAUAUAUCCUAUUAGUUCUGUCCCUCUAGCUAACCAUGAAUAAUACAGCAGCCAAAGUAAUCUUUCAAAAUAAAAAUAAAUUAAAACAAAUUUUUUUCUUUUCUUUCUUUUUUUUUUUUUUGAGACGGAGUCUCCCUCAGUCACCCAGGCUGAAGUGCAAUGGCAUGAUCUCAGCUCACUUCAACCUCUGCCUUCCAGUUUCAAGUGAUUCUCCUGCCUCAGCCUCCCGAGUAGUUGGGAUUACAGGCGCCCGCCACCACUCCCGGCUAAUUUUUGUAUUUUUAGUAGAGAUGGGGUUUCACCAGGUUGGCCAGGCUAUAAAAAAAUUUUUUUAAAUGAGGCCAGUACAUAAAACACUGCAAUGAUUUCUUAGGAAUUUAAAAGAUACCUGACGCAGAGUAAACGUUCUACUAAAUAUUUGAUGAAUGAAAGAAAAGAGGAAAAUACAGCUUUACACUCAAGAAAGAAACAAAAGGAACAAGUUGCUUUUCCAUUUUUUUGCUAAACAACACUGAAAUGAGUGUACUUUUUACAUGUAUUUAGGAAUAAUUUUGCAAAGAUUUUCCUGGGAGAUGCAUGGUAAAGGAAUCACUACUGUUGAAGAUCGGCUAUGUAGUCAAAAGUCUGCCCCAAUGUAUGGUACCAAUUUUGACUUUUACCAGUAGUGUAAGUGAAUAGCUACUUCCCUACAUCCUCACCAAGACUGGACAUUAUAAAGUUUUAUAUUUUUGCUAAUAUGGAAGAUCAUUUUAUUUCUUAGCAGAAUAAGGUUUAGCACUGUUUUAUAUGCUUAUUGGGGACAUAAUUUUUUUUAAGAGUCUUUUUAUAUCUAUUGCUACACAAAUGGCCGAUGUUUUCCUUUGUUUUUAAUUAUUCAUAUUUUCUUCAUAGUACCCAUACGUUUUUGGUUUUAACAAAUGUCUAAAAAUUUAUUUAUGUUGGAAAUCUGUGUUUAAACUACUUCAAUUAUUUGGUUAGUAUGUGGUGUUCUUGAGGUAAAUAUCAUAGAUUUGAUAACAGUAUGUGGUAAUUUAUUUCACCUAGAAAAACUGGCUAGGGAAUAUACAACCACUUCCAGCCAUUCUGUAUGCAGGUGAAUCUUGGUUUCCCUGUGGGCAAUGAUGUAUGGAACUUACGAACAAUAUGGGCAGAUCAACAAACAGCACAUAAAGGGGACGAGACACACACACACAGAGACAGAGAGAGAGAGAGAGUGCAAAGCAAGGCAAGGCAAGAGGAGUAAGAAGUGUUUCCAGCUCUGAAAACACCAGCUUUAUCCUAAUACGGCAGAUACCGCAGCACCAACUAACUGACAGACCCUCCUCAGAAGUCUGGGUCCCAGCCCCCAAUGGCACAUCUUCCUCCAGCUCAGAGAUGCCAUCCCCAGCCAAACUGAGCCACUUCCUCAAAGGUCUGAAUGUCAGCUCUGUGGGGCGUCUUCUCCAAGUUUCAGUAUGUCUAAACUCUUUCCCUGGUUCCCUUCGCCUUGCGGGGUAACUUCGCUGUAUAGUUGCUACCUCCACGAAAACUCAGAGUUCUCUUUCUGACCUUUCAGUUACCUAAAUAACAUUGCUUAAUUAUUUUUUAUCUUGAAUUUUCUCUGUUAAAAUAAUUGUUAUGGCUUCUGUCUCCUAAUUGGACCCUAACUGAGACACUGACUGAUCAUUCAGUUUGCUGGAGGUUCUUAAAUGACUGCUAUUUUCCUUUGUUAGCUCACUGGGUAUGAAAGCUGGUUGUUGGAAGAUGCUAAAUGGCACAAGUCCCGAUGGCAGCUGAAACACUCUCUUGUGGUCUGGCAGUAUAUGCACAGGACAUUUGCCAGUGCCAUGGCUAGGUACUGCUCCACAGACACCUGAGAUUUUCUCAGCCCAAAAGACAGAAAAGAUUGGACUUUUCCCCAGGAUGCUCUGCUUUCUGCUAUUUGUCUGGGAUCCCUCAAAAACUGGUUUCUGGGCUCUCAACCAGUCCAUAGAAAAGAAAGCAUCAUAUUAGUUAUUAGUAUCAUCUGGAGAACUUUUCCAAUGUCGGCCUCAUACUUCUCAGCAGUAUAUAGGCCCUAGCAGCAAUUUUACUUAGGAAGUGUAAAUGAAUCGGGAAAGGCAUCUGCAUUCAGGUGUUCACGUUUCCAAACCCUCCCUCAAAGAUUUUUCUUUGUUAUAAAAUCUGUCAAUGUAUGUUAUAAAGUCUAUAAUAAGAU
rnacentral:lncRNA from 10 species